AGGGAGGAUCCAAGAGCUGAGAUACUUCCUGAUACAAUCUUCCUACAGAAAUCAUCGGUAAUUUCGUGCUUGUAGUUCUGGUAGAAAGUUCUGCGAGACUCAAAUUUCCGGAUAUUAAA
rnacentral:snoRNA from 1 species